GUCUCGGGAUUGUCAGUACUCAAUCAAAUCGCAAGCGAGAUAUAUACUUAUAUACAACUGUAAAACGAGAAAAAAAAUCUUAAAAUCUCUCUAAACGUUUGAAAAACAGUGAAGUUAUUUCCACGAAUAUUAUUUGGUCUUUAUUGACCGUUUUCGGCUAUUCUAGUACUCUUACAAACCCUUUACAAAAUGUGCGGACCGUGUGGUGGAUGCUGCGGCGGUGGCUGCUGCGGUGGCUGCUGUUGCCCCUGCAUCACUAUCUACACCUGCUGCACCAAGAUUUGCUAGUGGCACGAGUGGCGCCGGACUUCGCAGGCAAGCCAUGGUGCUGGCGAUGGACCGGCGCGCAUCGAUGCCUUUCAUGUUUUGUCUUUUUCGAAGUAUACUCCGUGCAGUUAUGUGGAAAUAAACUAUUAUAAGUAAGCUA